rnacentral:rRNA from 1 species
UUAAAUUGAAGAGUUUGAUCAUGGCUCAGAUUGAACGCUGGCGGCAGGCCUAACACAUGCAAGUCGAGCGGAAACGAGUUAUCAGA